CACUGUUGUUAUAAUCUGUAUCUAAAAGGUGGCAAGUUAGAUAUCACUGGAAAACUAACAACUCACUGAUCAUUAAAAUUCUUGUCUCAUGUAUGCACAGGGUAUGUACGAAAUGUUAUGAAUAGGUGCUAGAAUUAUAUUCUUAAAAGGUGUUUGGCAAGCAAUGCAUAAGCACAGUCUGCUUCAGACAAAGAAAGGUGGAUUUAUCUCAACAUACGUAUAAGCAAUAAACAGAGCCAUCCAACUAACAAGGGGAGGAGACUGCUAAAAUGCAAGUUGUCCUUUUCCUGCACACCAGUGGGGGAGAAAGAGCAUGGAGCUUCUUUCACCACCAGACUCCAAUUUACCUUCCUCACAGCCUGAAUAAACUUUACUUUGAGGUCACUUCACUGUCUCGGAGCCAUGGAACAGCCCUGCCUUCAGGUGGAGCCUUGCCGGUGUCCGGAAUGAGGUUGCCACGACCUUGGUGUCGGGGACAGCUGGAAUGGCUUACAUGCAGACUGUGGUGUGUAGAUGCCCAGAGAACAGAGGGUGGCUUUGGUGUCCUUCAUCCC